UUUGCUUAGUGAAGGCAUGUAGGCUGAAUUAACUCAGAAAGUGUUGUGUUGUUCAUCAGCUUCAUUUCUUGUAUUUUACGAAUUGGGAGUUAAAUGAUGACACUAAAUUU